GCCGGUGUGGCUCAGUGGUUGAGCGUCAGCCUGUGAACCAGGAGGUCACGGGUUCAAUUCCGGUCAGGGCA
rnacentral:tRNA from 1 species